GGGACAACAGUUGGAAACGACUGCUAAUACCGCAUAAGCCCACGGAUCCGCAUGGAUCUGCGGGAAAAGGAUUUAUUCGCUCUAGGAUGGACUCGCGUCCAAUUAGCUAGUUGGUGAGGUAACGGCCCACCAAGGCGACGAUUGGUAGCCGGACUGAGAGGUUGAACGGCCACAUUGGGACUGAGACACGGCCCAGACUCCUACGGGAGGCAGCAGUGGGGGAUAUUGCACAAUGGGGGAAACCCUGAUGCAGCGACGCCGCGUGGAGGAAGAAGGUUUUCGGAUUGUAAACUCCUGUCGUUAGGGACGAUAAUGACGGUACCUAACAAGAAAGCACCGGCUAACUACGUGCCAGCAGCCGCGGUAAAACGUAGGGUGCAAGCGUUGUCCGGAAUUACUGGGUGUAAAGGGAGCGCAGGCGGACCGGCAAGUUGGAAGUGAAAACUAUGGGCUCAACCCAUAAAUUGCUUUCAAAACUGCUGGCCUUGAGUAGUGCAGAGGUAGGUGGAAUUCCCGGUGUAGCGGUGGAAUGCGUAGAUAUCGGGAGGAACACCAGUGGCGAAGGCGACCUACUGGGCACCAACUGACGCUGAGGCUCGAAAGCAUGGGUAGCAAACAGGAUUAGAUACCCUGGUAGUCCAUGCCGUAAA
rnacentral:rRNA from 1 species